rnacentral:rRNA from 1 species
CCCUUAGAUGUCCUGGGCUGCACGCGCGCUACACUGGAAGUUACGGAUUGAGAUACUACCUUGUCCGAAAUGGUCCGGGUAAUCACCUAAAAGCUUGUCAUAAUUGGAAUGGAUUAUUGUAACUAGUAAUCCUGAACGAGGAAUUCCUAGUAAGUCCCAGUCAACAGCUGGUACUGAUUACGUCCCUGCCCUUUGUACACACCGCCCGUCGCUACUACUGAUUGGACGUUUAAGCAAGAUGUUUAAACACUGACAGUGUGUAGUUCACGCUAUACUACAGUGAGAAGAAGAAGAUCGAGCUUACUUGUCUAGAGGAAGUAAAAGUCGUAACA